UUAUUUAUAUAUCUCAUCCGUUUUAUUCACUUUCUUCAACAAAAAACCAAACCCCAUUAACUUUUCCGGGUUGCCGGCCGGCCAGAUGCUGUCGAAGUCGGAGAUGACAAUGUCGGAAAAACAGAGGACUCCAGUCAAAUGGCGGCGAAGCCACGGUGACUGCCACAGCUUGUCGCCCGUCUCGAAUCAAGCGAGCCGGGUCAAUGAUUUUCAGGAUCUGCUUGCACCUGGAGGUUGGCCUGAGUUGACCAAGUACGAGUUCUCCUCCACCGAGACAUGUUCGCCACCGCCGGAGGCGAACUCCGUGGCGGUCGGAGAGAUUCCGAAGAAGAGAAAGGCCAACAAGAACAAGGAACUGAAAUCCAAACUGGGUAAUGCUGAAUCUGACAAAAGAAUCAAACCAAAUAAUCAAGAAGAAGAACAACAACAAUCAAAGAUAACAGAGGAAACAGAGGAAACAGAGGAAACAGAGACGUCGAAACAGAGUUCAAGAGCUUCUGAUUACGUUCAUGUAAGAGCCCGUCCAGGCCAAGCUACAGAUAGCCACAGUCUCGCAGAACGAGCGAGGAGAGAGAAGAUAAGUGAGAGAAUGAAGUAUUUGCAGAACUUGGUACCUGGGUGUAACAAAAUUGCAGGAAAAGCUGGAAUGCUGGAUGAAAUUAUAAAUUAUGUUCAAUCUCUUCAGCAACAAGUGGAGUUCUUAUCCAUGAAGCUGGCCACUGCGAAUCCGAGACUCGAUUUCAUCAAUGUCGAUGACCCUUUUUGUAAACAGGUGUUUCCGGCGACGGAAAUCUCCCCGGAAACGGCUACUUCUUCAUCGUACUUUAAUGAGCUUGGAAUCAGCUCAAGUUCUGUAACAGUCCCACAAACUCCAUUGAUCAGCUCAGCUUCUGUUACUCAAUUGGAGCUCUGUUCAACUUGGGGAGAUGAUUUACAAAGGGUUUGCAGUAUGAGCUUAGAAGAAGGAGGGCCGCCAUUGUUGUCGCUAUCGAGCUUUCUGUGGCAGCAAUAUCCAGGCAUUGAAGAUGAAAAGGAAACAUUUGUAGACGACAAAGUUGUCGGUCCAUUUUAAGAGAGUUAACAUGUUGCAACAUUCAAAUCCAACGACUGUUUCAUGAUGGAAUUCAAAACAUUCAAUUUCCUCUGUUUUAUGUAAAUUAACUAGAGAUAUUGAUAGAAGAUAAGUUAGUGCCAUCUCUUUUAUUUGUGUUAACAAAAAUUUUAUUG